rnacentral:rRNA from 1 species
AACGAACGCUAUCGGUAUGCUUAACACAUGCAAGUCGGACGGACUAAUUAGGACUUGCUCCCAUUAGUUAGUGGCAGACGGGUGAGUAACACGUGGGAAUCUGCCCAUCAGUACGGAAUAACUUUUAGAAAUAAAAGCUAAUACCGUAUAUUCUCUACAGAGGAAAGAUUUAUCGCUGAUGGAUGAGCCCGCGUCAGAUUAGGUAGUUGGUGAGGUAACGGCUCACCAAGCCGACGAUCUGUAGCUGGUCUGAGAGGAUGAUCAGCCACACUGGGACUGAGACACGGCCCAGACUCCUACGGGAGGCAGCAGUGGGGAAUAUUGGACAAUGGGCGAAAGCCUGAUCCAGCAAUACCGAGUGAGUGAUAAAGGCCCUAGGGUUGUAAAGCUCUUUUAGCAAGGAAGAUAAUGACGUUACUUGCAGAAAAAGCCCCGGCUAACUCCGUG